UUGCCCAUUCCAUUUUGAAAUAAUCUUGUCUUGUUCUUUAAAUAGUGAUGUAUUAAAUCUCCAGCUCCUAAUUAGUGGUGUGACUCUUUUCUGUGUCAGACAGAUAAAUACUAGUGUAUGAUCACUGAUAGUGAUAGAAUGAGUGUUUUUAAUAACGGAGCUGGAACUAAAAAGUAGUCUGAGCGACAGUGUGAGUGGUGUACUGGUGAAAAGAAGGUGUAAUACUGAGAGUGGCAUCACAAAGACCAAACUCGCAGCCACAUCCUUUGACUCACUGCUGUACUGAGACAGGUUGAAGUUUCCUCCUAUUAUAAGUGUGGUGUUAGAGUGAUCUGAAGGAAAACCCAUGUCUUCACCCUGCCUUUUGACACCUUGUGAGAUGUGGGGUUUUUUAAAGAUUAUUUUAUUUUAUUAGUUCAUUGUAUGUUUUUUAUACUGUUUUUAUUUUUUAUUUACUCUGUUUUGUUUUCUCUAUUGUUCUUUACUUAUUUCCCGUACUUUGGUCCUGUGCUGGCUGUUAUAAAGUGCUUUAUAAAUAAAGUUGGAUGGGACUGAGAGUGAAAAAAGAAGGUAUAAACAAAGGAGGGGUCAUCAACAUUUGGUCCAUAUACUAGUGAUACACAGAUCCAUAUUUUGAAUACAUAGAUAAAGUAUUAUUAAUCUGCCUUGUGGACCUGCUGCUGACAGUGCAGUUCAUUUUUCUGUUAAUUAAUAUGGCUAAACCUCUUUGUUUUGAGUAGCGGGCUGAGAAUGUGUGAAGGAAAUAUGGAGAGGUGAGUUUUGGUCAUAUGAGCCUCCUGUAGAAAGACAGUACAUGGUGGUAAGUCAUUUAACCGAUUAGUCAUUUUGAGCCUCUUUUUCCUGGAAUCAAUUCCACGUAAUUCCAUGUGACGAACCUCAGUGUGGUCAUGGUGGAGAGUAGAAUUUACACCAAAACUGUGUGUUUAUCUGUCUGUCUUGUAUGGCUGCAUGUUAGUGUGUGUGUGGUUGGUAUGUCUGUGACUGUGCUGUAUGUUUCUGUGGUAAACAGCAGCAUUGAGG
ensembl:lncRNA